rnacentral:rRNA from 1 species
CACGUAGGGUGCGAGCGUUGUCCGGAAUUAUUGGGCGUAAAGAGCUCGUAGGCGGUGUGUCGCGUCGGCCGUGAAAACCUGCAGCUUAACUGUGGGCUUGCGGUCGAUACGGGCAUCACUGGAGUUCGGCAGGGGAGACUGGAAUUCCUGGUGUAGCGGUGAAAUGCGCAGAUAUCAGGAGGAACACCGGUGGCGAAGGCGGGUCUCUGGGCCGAUAACUGACGCUGGAGGAG